UUUAAAAUAGAAAGUUUUUAAAAUAUGAUAUUGAAGCUAUCAAGAAGAGAUUAUUUCAUCUUUAAGAC
rnacentral:tRNA from 1 species